UUCUCUGCCAAUUCUUUAUUUUACCCCCUAGAAGACAAAAGGCCCAGGAGAGAGAGCCAUGGGAGUACAACUCAGAUUAACACAUCACAAACAGCAAAACGAACGGUGGUUGCCCUCCAAAACACAUCUUCAUAAUGUGAUCACUGUGUGCCUAGAGGGGCCUGUUCUCACAUUUUUCUUUCCCCCUCCACCCAUACACCUCUGCAGCAGAUCCCUGCUGCCUGCUGCCAACAGGCCCUCUUUCUACCUUACCUUCUCCUGAGCUCCUGGAGAUGGGCCAGGUGGUGUGGCUGCAGCUCACGUGCUGAGAACUCCUGUUCUGGGGCCAACAUGCUUUUUCUUUUCUUGACAGCCCUUCAAGUUUCUCGAGAACCUGGGAACUGAGUGGCCCUGAGUGCCUGUACGAAGACCCCAGGGUCAUUAAUAACAUCUGCACGCUUCACUGGGGCCAUGCACGGCCUAGGUGCUCUCCACAGCUACAAGAUGCUCAAUCCUCCUCACACAAAGCUUGCAGCUUAAGGCCCAAGGCAGAAAAUCACUAAUUCCUGUGAUGACUUCCCAACCUGGGCCUCAGGAAUUCUUCAAAAAGAGAAUUUUCCGUAACAGGGGCCACGGGACAAAGCACAGAAAGAGCUGAGUGGAGAAAGGAGACCAGACAAACAUGGCAUUCAUGGGAAAAAAAAACAACAGAAGGAACGUGCUAUAAGAGGUGGGGAUGAUCACCUAUCCCAUUCAGGGCUGCCUGCGAGAUACACCAUGGGAUCCCCAGAAUAGCAUCUCUGGGCUGUACUCUAAGGAGGACAUUGAGACACAGGUAAGAAGCAUGAGGAAGAUUCUGCUGGUCCUACAGCAGCCUGGGGAAACUGGGGAGCUCAUAAAAGCUGCCUUUGAAACCUGAGAAACCAAAGGUGAGGUUGAGUCUAAUGAAUGAGGGGUAGCAAGGCAAGGCAAAGCAGCCCUACUGAAUGCUGCAUUCUUUGCCUCCCGUUCUUCCACUAGUUUUUUUUUUGUUGUUGUUGUUGUUGUUUUUUUUUCUUGGCACACUCUUUUACCUAAGGAGGGUAAUUUAAAAUGGGUAUCAU
ensembl:lncRNA